CCAUAACCAGCAGAAUUCCAGAGGGUUGCAUGCAGCCGUUGCACUGAGAGCUCGCUGUGCACAGCCCUUCACUUCUAGCCCAGGGCCAAACCUCUCUGCUUACUGCAGCAUCACCCCUACGCCUACCCCAGGGCUGUGCGGGAUCAGAGUCUGUGUGAGAAAAUGAGACCCUGACCCUAACUAGGCUUGGAUGGAUGGAUGGAGGGAGGGAAGGAUGGAUAGAUGGAUGGAGCCUACAUACAGUGCUCAGCCCCUACUGCCGUUGAGCAGCC
ensembl:lncRNA